CUUCCUCUUUUCAGUUUGGCGCAUGGGCAACAGCAAACAGCUGUUUUCUCUUUUCUCUGAUUUCUGUUACAACACUCUGUGGACACAGACGACAGGACGCCUUUUAAAAUGUGGGACAGAGGAAAACUGCUUCUUGCUGCAGUCGUGUUCACAGCUCUCUGCUACAGAGUGGCUGCAAAAAACCUGGACAUGGCACCACAUGCUGUAGAUGUCCUGUAUGAUAAGUGCCGCAAAGAAGCCAUCAAGGAGUUUAUCCAUUCAGGCGUCUUAAAGGCAGAGCUAAAGGGCAGUGAGGGAUUCCAGAAAGCAUGGAGUGCGAGUACCCAGUGUUCAGAGAUGAUCCCAGGAGGAAUAAAAGAACAUACAACUGCACUUCUGGCAUAUGCUUAUGGAGAUCCAAGGUUUAAAAAGACCUUCAACGAUAAAGUGGAGACAAUGGGUGCAAAUGUUAGCUCCUAUGUAAAGGACUUCCAUUUCAAGUCUCUUCACUUCCUCCUCAUGGACUACAUGAUGCUGCAGAAGCCAAAAAAUUGCACAACUGUGUAUGUUAUUCCUAGAGCUAGGGGAACAAGUCACAGCAGAAAACGGCUCAAAAGUGAGAUUUGGAAGGUUCACCACAGCUCUUAAAUCAAUAGAGGUUGAGUUGGAUGGGGAUAUCAUUUUAAAUAUCACUUCUUGUCUCUUUGUCAAACUGGGGGAGAACAUUUGCAGGAGAGAAAUGGGAUGAGAUCUUGUUAUCUCCAGUUGAAGAGUUCAUUGUGGAGAGUGUAAACAGAAAAGUUGUGGAUGACACAGAACACACUGAGAUUGUUUUGAAACACUCAGGUCUGAGGAGCUCGGACAGGUGCCACAUCUUUUCACGGUCUCCAGCUGACAUCUCCACCCAGUGGCUUGUGUUGUUGCUUGUGGCUUUUUCUCUUUUUUUCUUUAACCUUUGAGCAAAAACAAUUAGCACCUCAGACUGCUGACAGUCAUCAAAAUGCAAAACUGCUUUGUCAUACAGUCAUGUUUUUUAAUUACUUCUUCCACAUGUUUUGAACUGAACUCAUGUUUUCUUUAUGAAAAUCAGCAAAUAAUAUUUACUUUUACAAUAUUUUUUAUGCUAAGUGAUUCUUUUAUACCUGAUUUAUUUGUUGUUGGUAUUUCAUGAAAUUGGUGGAGAGGGAAGGGGAGGGAUGUGCAACAGAGUUCUGUGUGCAAAUCAGCUAAAAAUAUUUACUCAUAACAAUAUUUUUAGGAUAAGCCAAUUUUAUACUUUAUAUAGAAUACCUUUUAUAUUUCAUGCCUUUAUAUUUAGAGAGUGUACAAAAAGACAGAUGUCAGGAAAUGAGUGGAAAGAGAGGGGUACCAGUGCGCAACAAAAUGAGAACUGAGUAAGUCACAGUUCAUGGUCAGCAGGUUAACUUCUAAGUCAGAAAUACAUAAACAAAUAAACUGGUUGAACUGCCCCUGAUUUGCCUCAUAAUUUUUUACACAGGACUGAUCUUUGAACAUCUCUUCACGUGACAGACUGAGAAAGAUGGCAGUGUAUCCGAAUGAGCUGCUCCUGUCAUGACACAUUUAGGAGGGUCCAGUAAGGCCUCUAAUUUAAAGGAUGAGAUAUUUGUAUACUGUUAAUCUGAAUCUGUAUGCAAUAUACAAUGCCUUGCAUUCUAAGCCACCUUUGAUAAACAAAAAUCCAAAAUCCUUUUUAAAAUAUGCUUCUUAUAGGAUAUUCAGUCUUACAGUAUCUUCAACAACAUUUAUAUGAGCAGAUGUAAACUUUUACAUGAGACAAUAAGUAUAAGUUAUUUUGUGGGCUACAACUUAAGCUUGUAUUUGUUUUUUUAAAUCGAUGGUGAAAUUGUGCUUAAUAAACUUUGUGGUAAUGUCA